rnacentral:rRNA from 1 species
AACGAACGCUGGCGGCAUGCCUAACACAUGCAAGUCGAACGAGACCUUCGGGUCUAGUGGCGCACGGGUGCGUAACGCGUGGGAACCUGCCCUUAGGUUCGGAAUAACUCCCCGACAGGGGUGCUAAUACCGGAUAAUGUCUUCGGACCAAAGAUUUAUCGCCUUUGGAUGGGCCCGCGUUGGAUUAGCUAGUUGGUAGGGUAAAAGCCUACCAAGGCGACGAUCCAUAGCUGGUCUGUGAGGAUGAUCAGCCACACUGGGACUGAGACACGGCCCAGACUCUUACGGGAGGCAGCAGUGGGGGAUAUUGGACAAUGGGCGAAAGCCUGAUCCAGCAAUGCCGCGUGAGUGAUGAAGGCCUGAGAGUUGUAAAGCUCUUUUACCCGGGAUGAUAAUGACAGUACCGAGAGAAUAAGCUCCGGCUAACUCCGUG